rnacentral:rRNA from 1 species
UUGAACGCUGGCGGCAUGCUUUACACAUGCAAGUCGAACGGCAGCGCGGGCUUCGGCCUGGCGGCGAGUGGCGAACGGGUGAGUAAUACAUCGGAACGUGCCCAGUAGUGGGGGAUAGCUCGGCGAAAGCCGGAUUAAUACCGCAUACGACCUGAGGGUGAAAGCGGGGGAUCUUCGGACCUCGCGCUAUUGGAGCGGCCGAUGGCAGAUUAGCUAGUUGGUGGGGUAAAGGCCUACCAAGGCGACGAUCUGUAGCUGGUCUGAGAGGACGACCAGCCACACGGGGACUGAGACACGGCCCAGACUCCUACGGGAGGCAGCAGUGGGGAAUUUUGGACAAUGGGCGAAAGCCUGAUCCAGCAAUGCCGCGUGUGUGAUGAAGGCCUUCGGGUUGUAAAGCACUUUUGGCGGGAACGAAAAGGACUGUGCCAAUACCACGGUUCGAGGACGGUACCCGCAGAAUAAGCACCGGCUAACUACGU